UUGUCUCAAAGAUUAAGCCAUGCAUGUCUAAGUAUAAGCAAUUAUACCGCGAAACUGCGAAUGGCUCAUUAAAUCAGUUAUCGUUUAUUUGAUAGUACCUUACUACAUGGAUAACCGUGGUAAUUCUAGAGCUAAUACAUGCUAAAAAUCCCGACUUCGGAAGGGAUGUAUUUAUUAGAUUAAAAACCAAUGCCCUUCGGGGCUCUCUGGUGAUUCAUAAUAACUUCUCGAAUCGCACGGCCUUGCGCCGGCGAUGGUUCAUUCAAAUUUCUGCCCUAUCAACUUUCGACGGCUGGGUCUUGGCCAGCCGUGGUGACAACGGGUAACGGAGGGUUAGGGCUCGACCCCGGAGAAGGAGCCUGAGAAACGGCUACUACAUCCAAGGAAGGCAGCAGGCGCGCAAAUUACCCAAUCCCGACUCGGGGAGGUAGUGACAAUAAAUACUGAUACAGGGCUCUUUUGGGUCUUGUAA
rnacentral:rRNA from 1 species